rnacentral:misc_RNA from 1 species
UAGAGUUUUAUAACUCCCAACCCUUUGUGAACUUACCUAUGUUGCCUCGGCGGGGCCUACCCGGUAGCUCUCCCUUUUGGGAGGACUUACCCUGUAGCCCGCCGGUGGAUUUUCAAACUCUUGUUAUUUUAACUAUAUCUGAGCGUCUUAUUUUAAUAAGUCA